rnacentral:SRP_RNA from 1 species
GCUGGGUGUGGUGGCGCACAUCUGUAAUCCCAGCUACCUGGGAGGCUGAGGAAGGAGAAUCACUUGAACCCAGGAGGCAGAGGGUACAGUGAGCCAAGAUCGUGCCACUGCACUCCAGCCUGGGUGACAGAGUGAGACUCCGUCUCAA